AUUGAACGCUGGCGGAAUGCUUUACACAUGCAAGUCGAACGGCAGCACGGGGGCAGCCCUGGUGGCGAGUGGCGAACGGGUGAGUAAUACAUCGGAACGUGCCCGGUCGUGGGGGAUAACGUCGUGAAAGUUACGCUAAUACCGCAUACGAUCUGAGGAUGAAAGCGGGGGACCUUCGGGCCUCGCGCGAUCGGAGCGGCCGAUGUCAGACUAGGUAGCUGGUGGGGUAAGGGAUUACCAAGCCGACGAUCUGUAGCUGGACUGAGAGGACGACCAGCAACACUGGGACUGAGACACGGACCGGACUCCUACGGGAGGCAGCAGUGGGGAAUGUUGGACAAUAGGCGCAAGCCUGAUCCAGCCAUUCCGCGUGCAGGACGAAGGCAUUCGGGUUGUAAACUGCUUUUGUACGGAACGAAAAGGCUCUGGCUAAUACCUGGGGCUCAUGACGGUACCGUAAGAAUAAGCACCGGCUAACUACGUG
rnacentral:rRNA from 1 species